CUCUUGAUUACAGUGAUGGGUCUCUUUGACCCAAAUAUUUGCUGAGGUAGCUCAGUAUAUGUAGGUCUUUAUUAUUCUUCUAUGUAUUUAGCAUGUUGUAUUGACAUGACUAAUUUCAUUCUACAUCUUGCUACGCCCAUACACCGUGGAGAGUAUUUUGCAUCCUCUCAAAAGGCCACCUCUGAGUCUGUCUGGAGUCCAGAUCUUCCAUGAUGGCUCUCAGGUGUUCCUGUGUCUCCACAUGGGUUUGCCUUGGGAGCUCCUGGCUCACGCAUUUUGAUUCUCAGAGCCCAGUUUCCACUGGUGGUACUGUGCCUGUAUUCUCGAUGGAUCCUGGGCUACCACGGAUGGGGCGCUGAAUUCUGUUUUGAUGGUGAAUUCUGGAGAUUGCUGCUAAGAUGGUAAUAGCCUGCACUCUCAGAGUUUGUUAGAGUGAAGAAGUCAACAAUAUUUCCAGUGGACAGUGGAUAGGGCAGGUUGGGGAGAGCUGGUCUGUAGGCAUUUUAAGUACAAUUGACCCUUGAUGAACCUGGAUUUGAACUGCACCAGUCCACUAAUAUGUAGAUUUUUUUUCAAUCAAAUUUACACCAAGUGUGCCUGCCUCUCCUGCCUCCCUUCCACCUCCUCCACCUCUUUUGCCUCUGCCACUCCUAAGACAGCAAGACCAACUCCCCCUCUUCCUCAGCCCUCUCAACAUGAAGACAGCGAGGAUGAAGAUCUUUAUGAUGAUCCACUUCCACUUAAUGAAUACCACCGUGGGUAAAAGGGAUUGUCCAUGCGGAUGGAGUGGAAGAGCUCGUCCUCGUCCUGCCCGUGGAAAGGCGACUGACCAAUCAGCAUCUCAUAAAGGAGAACCCCGAAGGACCACCAGUCCACAGAGUGGUUGUAUUUCUGACCCAACAAGAUCUGCACAACCAAAAGGCAGACACAAAAUGAACAGGAAUGAGGCUGAGGAGUGACAGCUCUUCCUGAGCGUCUCAAGGCCACUCCGUAAAUGGUCGAGGAUGGUGUGCAGUUGCAACAAAGAUCACCCUGAAACGUAUCUCUUGAGAAGCCAAUGACUGGAUGGCAGUGUCUAAACAAUGCUGAAAUUUUUGAGUUUGAUUCUGAGUAAACACUUUUCAGUUUCAA